AUAAAUUAGGGUUUUCUUCUCAAACCCAUUUCGCUCUUUGGACUUUAUCUCCUCAUGCAGCCAAGCUAACGAAAUUUCAGGGCGAAUAUUCUCUAAUCGUUUGGCCGUUAUAGAAACCAUUAACAACAACAUUAUUAUUUGCUCUAUUCAAUCCUAUUUACCCGGCUAAUUAAUAAAUUUGAUGCGUUACGUUUCUCUAUUUCUUCAAGACUACUAAAAAAUCAUCUGGAAGUUCGAUCUGUCGCUAAGCCUUGGUGGAAUAUAUUCCCCGAACAAGUUCACAAUUCUUGUUGAGAGAAUAUUUCUAGAUUUGAAAGCACGUGUGAUCCCGAAGCAAGUUCAUCAUAGAUUUAUGAUCUUUAAAAACUGAGCUUGAUAGCAUUACAGUUCCAUGGUGGGAAGAGCUUCCUACACAUUGGGUAAAUGUAAGCAUUGCUAUCUUUCCCAUGUCGACGAAGUAUAAUGACGGGUUCUCUUCCACUGUUGUAUUAACUAAUUCAAUCUUCUUUUUUCCGAGUUCACCUUUUCACAUAGGUUAAAUCUAAGUUUGUGGGCAUCUAAUUCUAUAUCAAUCAAUUGUAGAGGAUCCUACUUCGAACCACUUUUGUGGAAUUUGUAUUUCUUCACGGUACAGAGACACAAGUUAUUUAUUAAGACUUUAUAAAAAUUGAAAUAUCCUGCUUGACUCGACUUACAACGCAAAGCGUUUUGAUUUUGGAUUAGCAAAAGGUGGUCCUAUUGCCAAUUUCUCUACAGCAAGAGAGAGUACUGGCUUUGACAAACAAUUUUGAAGCACUGAGUUGCUAUGAUGAAGCAGAAUUACAACAGCACGUGACAAAUCUGCUGCAGUAGAAGCUACAACAAUUAGAUAUGUCCUCGGUUCCUCUUGCUACCGGGCAUUCGAAUGAAAUUUCUAACAACGAUACACCUUUAAGAUUUUGACAAUGGCAUACAACAAUAUAUGACAAGUAUCAUGUUAAGAUGAAAGCUAGAUCUUAUAUUGUAUCGAUUCAUCCCACAAUUCUGUUGUAGAAUUGUGGGAACACUGUGAUUAACAAUUCACAAUCUAAAGGACCUGAGAUGUUAUGUGUGAAUCUACUGUUG